UUUCCGUAGGUGAACCUGCGGAAGGAUCAUUCAUAAUAAGUGUUUUAUGGCACUUUUUUAAAUCCAUAUCCACCUUGUGUGCAAUGUCAGGGUUGAUUUUUCUCUCGAGAGGAUCAACCCCAAACAUCAACCAUAUCUCAACUCUUUGUCUGAAAAAUAUUAUGAAUAAACAAUUCAAAAUACAACUUUCAACAACGGAUCUCUUGGCUCUC
rnacentral:misc_RNA from 1 species